GACGAACGCUGGCGGCGUGCUUAACACAUGCAAGUCGAACGGAAAGGCCCUGCUUUUGUGGGGUGCUCGAGUGGCGAACGGGUGAGUAACACGUGAGUAACCUGCCCCUGACUUUGGGAUAACUUCAGGAAACUGGGGCUAAUACCGGAUAGGAGCUACUGCUGCAUGGUGGGGGUUGGAAAGUUUCGGCGGUUGGGGAUGGACUAGCGGCUUAUCAGCUUGUUGGUGGGGUAGUGGCUUACCAAGGCUUUGACGGGUAGCCGGCCUGAGAGGGUGACCGGCCACAAUGGGACUGAGAGACGGCCCAGACUCCUACGGGAGGCAGCAGUGGGGAAUAUUGCACAAUGGGCGGAAGCCUGAUGCAGCAACGCCGCGUGCGUGAUGACGGCCUUCGGGUUGUAAACCGCUUUCGCCUGUGACGAAGCGUGAGUGACGGUAAUGGGUAAAGAAGCACCGGCUAACUACGUG
rnacentral:rRNA from 1 species